rnacentral:pre_miRNA from 13 species
AACCGCAUGGGAUAAUUAUUUUUCCGUGCGGUCGGGUUAAGUGGACCGCACGGAAAAAUGAUUAUCCCGUGCGGUC